AGCGACACACGCCCAACCCCUUCCUCUCCUAGCCGAGUCCCCCAUAACGCAGCGGCGCGCAGCACCUCCACACUGCAACGCGGACACACGCACUGCGAGCACGCUGCAUGUUGCACGCUGCACGUUGCGCGCUGCACGCUGCAGGCGGGCGCUCGCUGCACGCUGCACGCUGCACGCUGCAGACGACGCAACGUGCGCACCAAAUCAUACAGUGAUACAGACAAAUGUAUUGAUUGCUAACAACGACGCAGCGAUCACAACAACCAGCCAUGUUGCCAACAACACUGACAACACUCACAACAAUACGAGCAACAUUAUGUGCAAAUUUGUUGUAAAAAUCAUAUAUUUGUAUAAUGAUUUGAACAAGUACUAACUUCUGAAAUCAAACAAAAUGGUUUGUCAGAUAUAAAAAAAAAUUAAAACACGCAAAUAACCGCAAUAAAAAUACGAAUUGAAAAGCAAACAGAAUACUAAGAGAAGAUAUAUUUAAUGACAGAACAUUUUGGUUAUUUGUUAGCAAUAAAUAUAAAAUGGACAAUUUCUUACAAUGCGAUAUCACCUGGUAAACUUGACAGAAAAUUGUCCUCUCUCGUCACAAUUCAGUGAGGACCUGACAGAACGACUUUCUGUUCAUCCUAAUAGUAACGUAAGAGCUUAAAAGACACCAAGCUUUUUUUUAAUUAUUUCACAAUAAACAAUGUCUAGUUGUAACUCAUCAAAGGCUCAUGAAUUUUAAUAAAAUUAUUAAUUCUAGUUUACACUAAAAUAAUCAUGUUUAUAUGAUUAAUACGAGUUAAUUCAGUGCAGUGCUAUUUAAAACAAAAUCAUGUAAAUAUAUAAAAGGACGAUAAUCUGCGAAUUUAUUUUUGACAGUGUGAUACAGUCAGCUGCAUAAUUUAUCAUAAAUUUACAAAUUUAAAUAUACUUCCCAUUUUAACAACACAUACACAUUUUUGAAAUUGAAAGUGUAUACAAGUUUCUAAAGCUUCAAAAAUGGAUACAUAUUUAUGCAGCUGACUGUACUUUGAAUCAAUUAUUUUGAAGGAUAAAAAAUACUAUAUUGAAAAUGUCUCAAAUUCAGUGAUUUUAGUAUCAAUAGUGUGGACAUGUGGUUAAACUUAAUUACAAUUAGAUUGUCGACUGGUGACUAUUUGAUUCGUCGAUUUAACCGUCGAAUUCCACUGAACAAAAGGAAAAUGAGCGGGAUGACCAUGUUUUUGUAAGUGUUCAGACCAGCGUUUCUCAAAGUGUGCGCUGCGGAGCCCUGGACCUUUCUUGAUGGUCCAUAUAAAUCUGAUACGGAAUAUAAUAAAAAAAAACAAUCGAAUUGGGAAUCUUCUCCUUUUUAAAGUCUUUUAAAAAAAUUAAAAGGGUAUCAUAGGGUUUCCUCAAUUACUUUUAUUCCAAAAAUGUUCCGCAGUCAAAAAAAAAGUUGAGAACCGCUGGUUUAGACAGAAAACUACGGAGAUGUACUAAAUCUUAUGUGAAGGGUUUAUGUAAGGUAUUGUGUAAAAGCAUUUCCUCAGAAUUAACUAUUUAUAAUACACCCCUUGUUGUGGGGGUGUCUGUCAUAUUUACACAAUACUAUCGUGAUAAUUAGUUCCAAUUUAUUAAUUAUAAAAUUUUACAACGCAUAUCUCAUACGUUUUAUACACAGGUAAACGAACUGCCCAACAAGAUGGAUUUCCAUCGGACCAGGUUUUGCAAAAGCUUGCAAUUUAAUAAAGCAAUAAUAGUUAUAUAAUAAUAUUUAAUAUGUCAGUUAUACUAAAUUACGAAGCCUCCGUAUGUUAAGCCGAAUGUAUUUAGACAUGUCUGGAUCGAUGGAAAGCCGCCUUGAGACUGAAGCUUACACUGCGGUAAGUGCCUAGGAUUAUAUGAAAGUGGUGCGAGACAAUGCUCGUGUGCGCUGGUACACAAUCGUCCAUUGCCCGACGUCGCGGGGACUCACUUGUGAUUCGUGCCUUAGUACACUGUUUAGUAUCAAAUAUGACUUGUCUCCGCGCGCUUGCCGCCCGGCGCCUGUCACUGCCACUGUCACCGUCGCCGUCACCUGUCAAAGUGACGUAUCGCGUGACAGCCGCGCUCGGGCCGGCCGGUGGCUUUAGGUAAAUUGUCGUGUGCAUCUGUAAAUUGUGUCCUCGGUGUAAAUUAAAUUUAAAUUAGAAACAUAACUUCGAUCAAAAGUAAAGUGGUUAGAGUAUAUAUUUUUAUAGCGGCCAUUUUGUUCAGUUACCAGGGAAUAUUAGCUUCGAGUGGUGUGUUUUCUGAUGGAGAUUCCACAGAUUCCACGCACUGUUGCACCUGUCAGAUUUGACGUGGGCACCGCGCGGUAUCGUGCCGUCUCGCUCUCUCGCCGCAGUAUUAUACUUUUACUUUAAUUCGACGUUCACAUCUGUCCCGGGCAUAUAUUUUUUCAUUGCGUCGUUUUUAUUUUAUAAUUAACAGUAUUUUUGAAUGUUGAGAAUGUUUUAGCGAGCGAGACGGCAUCGGUUCAGCUGCAACAGUGCUUACGGACCUUUUGUGUGUGUUUGUGUGUCGUACGAAAUCUUACAAUUUUAUAUGAUGUCAACAAUCCUCAGUUUUCUUAAGAAUGGGAUUAUGCCAUUGAUAUGCUGAUAAAUAUAUUUUUUUGCUAAUUUAUGAUUGUAGCAGAAUUGGUGGUAGAUAAUCAGUUUAUGGGUUUAUUUGGCGGCGGCCUCGAGCUCGCAGACCUCAAUUUCGAUUUAGUAUUUGUUUUAGUUAAGAUAAAUUUAUUGCCGGCAACACUCGGCCGCCCGACUCGUUACAUUAACACAAUGUAUCAAUGCGGGCGGCGAGUGUUGCCACCACUGUAAUGUAACAAGGAGACAAGUGUUGCCUGUGCUGGGUUACUAUUGUCUACUUAUUUUAAUUCCUGGAUAAAAUCGACGCAAUGUAAACUAUCCAUGUACUGGCAACCCGUUUUGCAUCUUUGUUUUUUCGCUUUAUUUUCUAACUUGCAAUGAAAUGGUUAUCGAUUAUGUUUAUCAUUUAUGUAGAUAAAUUGUUUUUAGUAUAUUAAUUUUUGAUGAAUAAAAUGCAUCGCUGCUGAACCGGCGCGUCACCAGCUGCAGCGCUAGAGGGACAACUCUGUAAAGAUUAAUCUAAUUAUUUAAUUAAAAUGUAUAAGUUUUUCAAA